CUACUCUCCUUCAUAGAAUUACAGCGCUCCCCCCAUCUCCUUCACAGCGCGCCCGAAGACAAACAUCUACUAACCCAGGACGAUCACACCAAAGAUGACAAAGUCGAAGAAGGAACGUAGAGCGAAGCGCAAGAAAAUGAUUAAACACGUUUGCAAAGUGAUUGGGUGUACGAUGACGGGAGCCAAGAUUGGUUGUCUCGUUGCUGCUCCCCUAUGUGGCCCGGCUGGUGCAGCUACAUUUGCCCCGAUUGGCGCAAUGGCUGGGUUUGCACUCGGUGUGCGUUCGGUACUGAAGGACGACCUGAUAGGGGAUGUGGGCCCAACGGCUUAUGAUGUGUGCACCGACUGUAUAAAGGAGAUGUUGGACUGAUGGUUUGUGCGGCUGAUAGUUUAAACUGAAUUAUUCAUGAUUUGCAUUUUUUGCAUUGUUAUUCCUACUAGAUAUGGAUAUCUAGUGUAAAUAAAUGUAAGCAUAAAUAAGUUGAUUAUGAUUACAAUGUUUUUUUACCAUGAAUAUAUAAAGUUUUCCUACUCCCAAAAGUAGUUACUCUCA